GCGGUAGUUCAGUCGGUUAGAAUACCGGCCUGUCACGCCGGGGGUCGCGGGUUCGAGUCCCGUCCGC
rnacentral:tRNA from 3 species